GGAGGGGUGGCCGAGUGGUUGAAGGCGACGGUCUUGAAAAUCGUUUCUCCCGUAGCCCGGGAGACGUGAGUUCGAAUCUCACCCCCUCCGCCA
rnacentral:tRNA from 1 species